UCUGAAAAAAAUUGUAUAACACGAAGCCAUAAAUACUGAAUCUUAGCUGAUUGCAUUAUGAACUGUCAAACUGUGAAGAUGACCCAUAUGUAAACAGUUAUAACAGCUACAGAUUAUUGCUAGUAGCAUUCCAUACAAUUCCAUAUUAAUGUUCUUAGGAGCUAAUAUUUGAUAAAGGGGAAAGCUAGUUAAAAACUAAUUAAUUUGUCAAAUGUAGCAUUCUUAUUAUGAGUGUAAUAUCUCAUGGAGAUUUAAAUAUGAACGAAAGGACUUAUCCUUCUGCUUUUUAAAAGCCCCAGCAUUACUAGAUAGUGUUUUUCUUGAAGGCCAAAGCUGUAAAAUGACAAAGUUGGUGAUUUUCAGCAGCACUCACCUGAGCUGUGAGCGCCUGCACCUGUUCGGUAGAACCCACUAGAAUCACUUCUCUGUAGGAUAAGUGAUGCCUUUGAAUCCAGCAGCAUAAAAAUCUGUUCUUUUUAGUCAUCAAGUUUUUGUUUCCAGGAUAUUUCUAGCAUUGCAAAAAAAAAUUUCUUCACCAAACACUAAUUCCUAAACACCCAUCCAAACCACAAAAAUUCUCUUGUUAGUAGGCGAGAGUGCUAGGACUUCCUGUGUUCACCUCCCAUGCACCCAGCAUUGUCUUUUAUGCAUGAGAUAUUCCAUUAGAUUUUCCUAGAGUGGCCAGGACACCCUUCAUAGUAAGUUAUAUCUCUUAACUGGAUUCUAUAGUUUUAUCUCGAGCAACUUGGAAAAGCUAAGACAUCCUCCACCCACACUGGUAUCUACGCGCCUGGAAGCUGCACCUUCUCUCAUUGCUGUGCUCUGCUUUAAGGAAAACCUGAUAUGACAGAAUCAAGACUAUUAAAAGAUAAAUGAGGGGAAAUCUUCAUUUAAGAAAGUUGCCUUGCUCCCCAAGAGUGCCUUUAAUUGCUAUUCCCCUAGGCAUCUGGGUGCAUAUCAUUAAUGAAAUCAUUAACCUUUGUCUCUGGUCCUUCCUUUCUAAAAACAGCAGAUUAUAGAAGGUGGUCUGGCAAAGGGAUUUUCAAAGGGCAAAAGUCUCAUCAUCAUCUUUCCACUCAAAAUCCUAUUAUUCUACAUUUCACUUUGCAGGGGUCCUAGGGACAGGAUUGCAGGGACAGGGGACAUGGGAGGAAGACAGAAAAAUUCAAAACCAGCAGAUGCCACUACCUGGCAAUGAAUUGAAAAUUAGGGGAAAGCAUCUUUGGCGUGACCUUUUAUUAAGACAACAGAAAUUUAGAACAUUUUACAUGCUUCUUUGUUAAAUGGUGAAGCAAGGGAAUGAAAGUAUUUAUUUUUAGAGCUCAUAGUUAACUCCAUCAAGACAUGGCUACCCACCCCUCCAGUUAUGAACUUGUAUUACAGCUCCACUUGGUGACUUCCUUUCUGUGUAUCAGGAGCAGAGCAGAGGACAACUUGUAGAAGACAUGACCAUUAAGAGACAUCAACUUCGCAACAAAUAUAAGACAAGGAUACAAGGAUUCCUAUGUGAUGCAGCUAGGUUUUUAUAUCCUUCUAACAAAUGGUGAGCAGGAGACUUUUUUGGAAAUAAUUAGUUGUGAAAUUCCAUUUUUCUGACAGCCCCUUAAAUUUGAAGUUAUUUCAUUUGUAGUUAAGGUUAUCACAUCCCUGC
rnacentral:lncRNA from 1 species